GAUGAACGCUGGCGGCGUGCCUAAUACAUGCAAGUCGAGCGAACAGACGAGGAGCUUGCUCCUCUGACGUUAGCGGCGGACGGGUGAGUAACACGUGGAUAACCUACCUAUAAGACUGGGAUAACUUCGGGAAACCGGAGCUAAUACCGGAUAAUAUAUUGAACCGCAUGGUUCAAUAGUGAAAGACGGUUUUGCUGUCACUUAUAGAUGGAUCCGCGCCGCAUUAGCUAGUUGGUAAGGUAACGGCUUACCAAGGCAACGAUGCGUAGCCGACCUGAGAGGGUGGUCGGCCACACUGGAACUGGGACACGGUCCAGACUCCUACGGGAGGCAGCAGUAGGGAAUCUUCCGCAGUGGGCGAAAGCCUGACGGAGCAACGCCGCGUGAGUGAUGAAGGUCUUCGGAUCGUAAAACUCUGUUAUUAGGGAAGAACAAAUGUGUAAGUAACUAUGCACGUCUUGACGGUACCUAAUCAGAAAGCCACGGCUAACUACGUG
rnacentral:rRNA from 1 species